rnacentral:tRNA from 1 species
GCCCCCGUAGCUCAGGUGGAUAGAGCACAGGAUUCCUAAUCCUGGUGCCACGUGUUCGAAUCGCGUCGGGGGCACCA